GGGCCGAUGGUCUAGCGGUAUGAUUCUCGCUUAGGGUAACACCCUUAGCACGCUUCGUGAGCAAUCACGAAGCUAAAUUGCGAGAGGUCCCGGGUUCAAUUCCCGGUUGGCCCC